rnacentral:rRNA from 1 species
GACGAACGCUGGCGGCGUGCUUAACACAUGCAAGUCGAACGGAAAGGCCCUUCGGGGUACUCGAGUGGCGAACGGGUGAGUAACACGUGGGUGAUCUGCCCUGCACUUUGGGAUAAGCCUGGGAAACUGGGUCUAAUACCGAAUAUGACCGCGCUCUUCAUGGGGUGUGGUGGAAAGCUUUUGCGGUGUGGGAUGGGCCCGCGGCCUAUCAGCUUGUUGGUGGGGUAAUGGCCUACCAAGGCGACGACGGGUAGCCGGCCUGAGAGGGUGACCGGCCACACUGGGACUGAGAGACGGCCCAGACUCCUACGGGAGGCAGCAGUGGGGAAUAUUGCACAAUGGGCGCAAGCCUGAUGCAGCGACGCCGCGUGAGGGAUGACGGCCUUCGGGUUGUAAACCUCUUUCAAUAGGGACGAAGCGCAAGUGACGGUACCUAUAGAAGAAGGACCGGCCAACUACGUGCCAGCCGCCGCCGUAA